GAUGAACGCUGGCGGCGUGCCUAACACAUGCAAGUCGAGCGAACAGACGAGGAGCUUGCUCCUCUGACGUUAUCGCCGGACGGGUGAUUAACACGUGGAUAACCUACCUAUAAGACUGGGAUAACUUUGGGAAACCGGAUCUACUACCGGAUAAUAUAUUGCACCGCAUUGUUCAAUAGUUAAAUUCGGUUUUUCUGUCACUUAAAGCUGGAUCCGCGCCGCAUUAGCUAGUUGGUAAGGUAACGGCUUACCAAGGCAACGAUGCGUAGCCGACCUGAGAGGGAGGACGCCCAGACUGGAACUGAGGAACGGUACAGACACCUGCAGGGAGCCGCGGUAGAGAAUCUUCCGCGAGGGACGAGAGGCUGACGGUGCAAAGCCGCGUGAAUGAUGAAGGACUUAGGAUCGUAGAGCUCUGUAGUUAGGGAAGAAGAAAAGUGUAAGUAACUAUGCACGUCUUGACGGUACCUAGUCAGAAAGCCACGGCUAACUACGUG
rnacentral:rRNA from 1 species